GUAAGUCAUUUCUCAGCACAAACCAAGAAGCUUCCUAUCAGGUAGCUCUGUUUUACAGGCAGGUGGAAAAUUCUCGCCAUGUCUUGGCCAAGUUCUGCCCUUGACCUUCAGAUUCAUGCAACGGGAAAGCUCCUGGCUAAGCUGUAGAGUCACCCAGCCCCUAAAACCAGCAGCUCCCACACAGCAGUUGCAAAGCCAUGGGAGGAGAUAAUUGCAUUGUAGUUUCCGAAACAUUUUUCUUCUGUCUGCUCCUGUAUUUGUGCACUGUGUUCCUGGCUACCUGCAUUCAUCAACUUCACUGUUGUAAUAGGCUAUUGCCUGCACGCUAAUAACCCCCUGUUCUUUAAUGUUCUCUUUCUAUUUAAUUAAUCUAUUUAUGAUAAUAGUAUGUCUCAUUUUGUGCUUUCACUCUAGAGGGUGUGUUUGUAUUAUCCUUCUGUAUAGUGUUGACUGGCCCUAUUAUCAUUUAUCAUUAAAGGCAGCAGCAACACUCUGGCCUGGCCUGCCAAUAAUUUUUCAAUUAAUUGCUUAGUGGUUGCUUUUUCUUUGCUUUUGGUCUUUGCCAGUGACUAUGAGGUCUUUAAGCUUUCUGAUUUUUUCUUUAACUUAGCAGCUGUGCUUGCUUUACACCAGGGGAUCUGCAGCAACCUGCAGUGUUACGGGGGUCAGUGUGUCGUUGUGAAAGUGUGUCCAUGUCAGAUCGCUGAAGGAUGCCCCAGUGUACGGAGUGCCCUGUAUAUGAGUGCUGCUUGUACAGUCAGACAAGUGACCUUGGCCGCAGCCGUGUGUGCGCAUCACAAAUGGGAGGCUGGCAGCUUUUGUCUGAUAUUCUCUGGCUUCAGCAUCCAGACGUUUCAUAUCAUGUAUUUCUUUACUGGUACUGAGUUCUCUUGGAGAUUCUUAUGAAGCAAAGACACAAUCCUCUUCCCAUUCCUGUUUCAGAAGACUCUGCAGGACAUCCAUUGUACCAAAAUAAUGUGACAGUCAUUAUAAACGCAGCUGGUAUCAUAUCUCGUGCUGCCCGAAGGAUGAAAUGAAGCUGUCACUGAAGGAGCCCACCAGGUUAGGCACUGGCACGUCACCCCAUUUCUUGUGAGUGAUCCACACCUUCCAUUCAAGCACCCAGAUAACUGCCCAGGUUUCCAAGAGACCUCCAUUUCCAACAGGACUUGCGGCACCAUGGAAGCGUUAUCAGAAAGCUCUCUAGAGAGCUUGGACUUGCAUCCAGCCCCAGUUUCCAUCCAGGAGCACGCAGCAGCUACAAAAGAGCAGCCUCCUCUCCACUGCCACUGCACAACUAAGAAGCUGAAUUUGUGUCCCUGCCUGUCCCCAAGGAAAAGAAGGCUGCGAGGUCUCUUAAGGAAUCUGCUCCUAUGUAUUUAGCCAACGUGUGGCACUUAUCUCUUCACUGAAGCAGACUUAAGCCAAACUGCCUUCAGCUUCCUGUUCUGUGUAUUACACUCGGCACAGAAAGGGAUGAAAAGGAACGAAUCUUGGAAGAGAAACAAAAGCCUGCAAUAAGCUGUAUUCUCGAUUACCCUGUAGCAUGCUGACUGGGAACAAGAAGAGUUGCCACGCUGACAUAUACGGCUGAAAAUUGGGUUUGCCACGUACAGCGAUGUUAAAGGAAGCUUUUCACUGCUUCCCUUGUGGGCUGCCACUGUGCUGUGCCCUUCGUGAGCACUCUGCCACUUAUCGGCACAGGUAUAAAAAUGUCCUUUGGACAAGAGACAGUGCAGGUAAGCUCUGGAGAAAUCAAAGCAGGAAAAGGAGAUAAAAGGCUAGCAAUAUUUCUGUUGCUAACUCACAGACAGGUUUAGUCUAACAAUUUCCACCUUGGCAAGCUCCAGGUCGCUAAAACAGCAUCCAGAACAAUGAGUUAAAGUUAGCGAAAAAGAUGACACAAAAUUCGGUGUUCUCACAGAAAUUCACAAACUUUCUCUGCUUCCGUGCAUUGGUUAACCCCAGGCCUCCAUCAGGCCGAGCGCUCUUCUGCUUCACUCACGCUUGCUCAGUUUCAGUGUUAAAUCCUGCUGGAAAAAAUAAAAAAUAAAAAAUUGGAAA